rnacentral:snRNA from 1 species
GUACAUGCGCAGUUGGCAAUAUCGUAACCAAUGAAGCAGGUCUCCUGAGGUGCGAUUAUUGCUAGUUGAAAACUUUUAGGGCGCCACGGUUGCCUAGCGGUUAUAGGCUAGACUCGCAAAGCUAAGAUGUAUUGCGGUACUAGGCUAUAUUCCCAGUCUAUACCUUUAAUGGGUUAAUAUGAGAAAUUUUGCAGUAAAGUAUGUUUG